rnacentral:misc_RNA from 1 species
GUUAUUAGUAUGUUUUGUGUUCUGUUUCAUAAAUUGUAGUAUAAUAUGAAUCUUUAAUGUUGAAGUCAGCUGCUCGCAUUUUAUUUCUCAGAGACAUUAUGACAUUGGUUGAAAUUAUAUCAGAUGUAGGACGAUUAAGUAUAGGGGCCUUCUCAAGGAUGGAUUAGCCAAUAUCCAAAGUAGUUCUCUCUCUCUCCUGUAGCAAUUGAAUGAUAUAUUUCCUUAAGAGUUAGAUGACAAUAUAUUUUUCUUAAAAAUUUAUGCGUGUAUUGGGACAUUAUAGGAAAGGAAGGUCAGUGCAUUUUGAGGUAAGGGUAGGGGAUGUGAAAUAAAGGAAGGGAAACUAUUUUCCGUGGCAUUACCGGACAGAAGUUAUAGAGAUCACUCAAAACAAUUUUUAAUCUAUUGAAUUUCUCUAACACAGAGCUAUAUUUGAGCUAAUAUUGAAACUGCAUUUAUCAUGGCAAUGUCCUCCUUGGUUGCUCUUGAUGCUAAUUAGAUCCUUGGCAAUUGCUUAUGAUACCUUCUAUGUACAUUUCUACUUAUUUAAUUUAUGUAACAUUGUAUAAGUUCAUUCAAUCACCACAUAUAUCUUUAUAAACCAACAAACUUCUCAUUGAUUUGAGGACUGCUGAACAACAAAUUCCCCUAAUAAUUUAUUGUUGUAUUAAUGAGUUUACUAGAAGACUUGCUUCCCACCCAUAAUUGUUGGCUGAAAUUGAGAAUGGGUCGAUCUAUCUUUGUAAUUAUUUAUGUAAUCUUUGAAGUUUUCCUGUGCUCAAGUUUCUGAUAUGCUCUUUUGUAUGCUUGAAAGAUAAUUAACAGGUUAAAUGUCCAUAUCCUAAUUGUGCAAUUCAUAAUUGAGAUAUAAGGGUUGAUGUGGAUUUUCUUUGCAUUUUUUUGGCAUUUCCAAAAUAGUAAUUUUUACUGCUUUGCAGAAAGAGCAUAUUCCUUUACAGCUAGUGAUCCAUUUUAUAUGCAUCUUCCUCUCUCCUUUUUUGGGAUACUUUUCUAUCUUGGCUUUUCCAUGUUGCUUCUCUUAUAGUCUUUGUAUGCUUCUUGCGUUUUCAGAUGCAACAUUAGGUCAUUCAAUCAACUUUUGUUACUAAUAUGCAUGUCUAUUCCUUUCAACCAAAUUCCCCUUGAACUCAUAGAUAACAAAUUGAAACUAUGAAUGUUUUCAGGAUAUAGAGGCUAAUAAUAGA